AGAGUUUGAUCCUGGCUCAGAACGAACGCUGGCGGCAGGCCUAACACAUGCAAGUCGAACGCCCCGCAAGGGGAGUGGCAGACGGGUGAGUAACACGUGGGAACCUCCCCUAUAGUAUGGAAUAGCCCAGGGAAACUUGGAGUAAUACCGUAUACGCCCGAGAGGGGAAAGAUUUAUCGCUAUAGGAUGGGCCCGCGUAGGAUUAGCUAGUUGGUGAGGUAAUGGCUCACCAAGGCGACGAUCCUUAGCUGGUCUGAGAGGACGACCAGCCACACUGGGACUGAGACACGGCCCAGACUCCUACGGGAGGCAGCAGUGGGGAAUAUUGGACAAUGGGCGAAAGCCUGAUCCAGCAAUGCCGCGUGAGUGAUGAAGGCCUUAGGGUUGUAAAGCUCUUUUACCAGGGAUGAUAAUGACAGUACCUGAGAAUAGU
rnacentral:rRNA from 1 species